rnacentral:rRNA from 1 species
UACAGAGGUCUCAAGCGUUGUUCGGAUUCAUUGGGCGUAAAGGGUGCGUAGGUGGCGUCGUAAGUCGGGUGUGAAAUUUCGGAGCUUAACUCCGAAACUGCAUUCGAUACUGCGGUGCUUGAGGACUGGAGAGGAGACUGGAAUUUACGGUGUAGCAGUGAAAUGCGUAGAGAUCAUGAGGAAGACCAGUGGCGAAGGCGGGUCUCUGGACAGUUCCUGACACUGAGACACGAAGGCCAGGGGAGCAAACGGG